rnacentral:rRNA from 1 species
CAGCCGCCGCGGGAAUACGGAGGGUGCAAGCGUUAAUCGGAAUUACUGGGCGUAAAGCGCACGCAGGCGGUCUGUCAAGUCAGAUGUGAAAUCCCCGGGCUUAACCUGGGAACUGCAUUUGAAACUGGCAGGCUAGAGUCUUGUAGAGGGGGGUAGAAUUCCAGGUGUAGCGGUGAAAUGCGUAGAGAUCUGGAGGAAUACCGGUGGCGAAGGCGGCCCCCUGGACAAAGACUGACGCUCAGGUGCGAAAGCGUGGGGAGCAAACAGGAUUAGAGACCCCUGUAGUCCCUGUCUCUUAUAC